AUUGAACGCUGGCGGCAGGCCUAACACAUGCAAGUCGAACGGUAACAGGAAGAAGCUUGCUUCUUUGCUGACGAGUGGCGGACGGGUGAGUAAUGUCUGGGAAACUGCCUGAUGGAGGGGGAUAACUACUGGAAACGGUAGCUAAUACCGCAUAACGUCGCAAGACCAAAAAGGGGGACCUUCGGGCCUCUUGCCAUCGGAUGUGCCCAGAUGGGAUUAGCUAGUAGGUGGGGUAACGGCUCACCUAGGCGACGAUCCCUAGCUGGUCUGAGAGGAUGACCAGCCACACUGGAACUGAGACACGGUCCAGACUCCUACGGGAGGCAGCAGUGGGGAAUAUUGCACAAGGGGCGCAAGCCUGAUGCAGCCAUGCCGCGUGUAUGAAGAAGGCCUUCGGGUUGUAAAGUACUUUCAGCGGGGAGGAAGGGAGUAAAGUUAAUACCUUUGCUCAUUGACGUUACCCGCAGAAGAAGCACCGGCUAACUCCGUG
rnacentral:rRNA from 1 species